AGUGAACGCUGGCGGUAGGCCUAACACAUGCAUGUCGAACGGCAGCACAGUAAGAGCUUGCUCUUACGGGUGGCGAGUGGCGGACGGGUGAGGAAUACAUCGGAAUCUACUUUUUCGUGGGGGAUAACGUAGGGAAACUUACGCUAAUACCGCAUACGACCUACGGGUGAAAGCAGGGGAUCUUCGGACCUUGCGCGAUUGAAUGAGCCGAUGUCGGAUUAGCUAGUUGGCGGGGUAAAGGCCCACCAAGGCGACGAUCCGUAGCUGGUCUGAGAGGAUGAUCAGCCACACUGGAACUGAGACACGGUCCAGACUCCUACGGGAGGCAGCAGUGGGGAAUAUUAGACAAUGGGCGCAAGCCUGAUCCAGCCAUACCGCGUGGGUGAAGAAGGCCUUCGGGUUGUAAAGCCCUUUUGUUGGGAAAGAAAAGCAGCAGGUUAAUACCCCGCUGUUCUGACGGUACCCAAAGAAUAAGCACCGGCUAACUUCGUG
rnacentral:rRNA from 1 species